rnacentral:rRNA from 2 species
AAAACGGAGAGUUUGAUCCUGGCUCAGGAUGAACGCUGGCGGUAUGCUUAACACAUGCAAGUCGAACGGUGUCUUCGGACACAGUGGCGGACGGGUGAGUAACGCGUGAGAAUCUGGCUUUAGGUCUGGGACAACCACUGGAAACGGUGGCUAAUACCGGAUGUGCCGAGAGGUGAAAGGUUAACUGCCUGAAGAUGAGCUCGCGUCUGAUUAGCUAGUAGGUGUGGUAAAGGCGCACCUAGGCGACGAUCAGUAGCUGGUCUGAGAGGACGAUCAGCCACACUGGGACUGAGACACGGCCCAGACUCCUACGGGAGGC